GAUCCUGGCUCAGAUUGAACGCUGGCGGCAGGCUUAACACAUGCAAGUCGAACGGUAACAUAAAGAAGCUUGCUUCUUUGAUGACGAGUGGCGGACGGGUGAGUAAUGCUUGGGAAUCUAGCUUAUGGAGGGGGAUAACUACGGGAAACUGUAGCUAAUACCGCGUAAUAUCGAAAGAUUAAAGUGUGGGACCUUCGGGCCACAUGCCAUAGGAUGAGCCCAAGUGGGAUUAGGUAGUUGGUGAGGUAAGGG
rnacentral:rRNA from 1 species